CAAUAGCGUAUAUUAAAGUUGUUGCAGUUAAAAAGCUCGUAGUUGGAUUUGUGGCGUACGGUGUGUUCCGGGCACUUGUUGUCUGAGUAACCUGCUGUUGCCAUCCUUGGGUGGAACCUGUGUGGCAUUAGGUUGUCGUGCAGGGGAUGCCCAUCAUUUACUGUGAAAAAAUUAGAGUGUUCAAAGCAGGCUUAUGCCGUUGAAUAUAUUAGCAUGGAAUAAUGAGAUAGGACUUUUUUGCUAUUUUGUUGGUUUGCGCAAAGAGGUAAUGAUUAAUAGGGACAGUUGGGGAUAUUCGUAUUCCAUUGUCAGAGGUGAAAUUCUUGGAUUUUUGGGAGACGAACUACUGCGAAAGCAUUUACCAAGGAUGUUUUCAUUAA
rnacentral:rRNA from 1 species